rfam:Melampsora larici-populina 98AG31 unplaced genomic scaffold MELLAscaffold_45, whole genome shotgun sequence.
GGAGAUUUGGCCGAGUGGUCUAAGGCGCCGUCUUAAGGAUCCUUCGGGUAAUCCGGCGGUCUUCGGGCGUGGGUUCGAAUCCCACAGUCUUCA